UAGAACUGACAGCUUGAAAAGUCAAAUGAAGGGGUAACGCCUUGAAGGGCUUUCUCUAAAUUACGACUAGCAAGAUACUGAAUAAGCAGUUGAAUGUUAGAUAGCUCGUUAAAGUCGGCUGAGAGUAUACCCUAACAGGUAAAGCUGAGGAAAAGCGAACUAGAGGUAGUCGAGUACAUGAUAGGUCGGGAGUCUAUAAA
rfam:Clostridium oryzae strain DSM 28571 CLORY_contig000088, whole genome shotgun sequence.